GGGCGCGGUCGGCCGUUUGGUCUGUACUGCGUUGUCUUGACUUCCUGAUGAGGACAUGCUCUUGGUUAACGCUGAGACAUGGAGUCAUCGUGGUUACUUUGAAAAAAUUAGAGUGUUCAAAGCGGGCUUACGCUUGAAUAUAUUAGCAUGGAAUAACACUAUAGGACUCCUGUCCUAUCUCGUUGGUCUCGGGAUGGGAGUAAUGAUUAAGAGGAACAGUUGGGGGCAUUCGUAUUUCAUUGUCAGAGGUGAAAUUCUUGGAUUUAUGAAAGACGAACUUCUGCGAAAGCAUUUGCCAAGGAUGUUUUCAUUAAUCAAGAACGAAAGUUGGGGGCUCGAAGAUGAUUAGAUACCAUCCUAGUCUCAACCAUAAACGAUGCCGACUAGGGAUUGGUGGAUGUUAAUUGAUGACUUCACCAGCACCUUAUGAGAAAUCAAAGUUUUUGGGUUCCGGGGGGAGUAUGGUCGCAAGGCUGAAACUUAAAGGAAUUGACGGAAGGGCACCACCAGGCGUGGAGCCUGCGGCUUAAUUUGACUCAACACGGGGAAACUUACCAGGUCCAGACAUAAGUAUGAUUGACAGAUUGAGAGCUCUUUCUUGAUUCUAUGGGUGGUGG
rnacentral:rRNA from 1 species